GGAAGGGAAGGUAAAGAACGAGAAGGGAAGGGAAGGUAAAGAACGAGAAGGGAAGGGAAGGUAAAGAACGAGAAGGGAAGGGAAGGUAAAGAACGAGAAGGGAAGGGAAGGUAAAUAACGAGAAGGGAAGGGAAGGUAAAUAACGAGAAGGGAAGGGAAGGUAAAGAACGAGAAGGGAAGGGAAGGUAAAGAACGAGAAGGGAAGGGAAGGUAAAGAACGAGAAGGGAAGGGAAGGUAAAGAACGAGAAGGGAAGGGAAGGUAAAGAACGAGAAGGGAAGGGAAGGUAAAGAACGAGAAGGGAAGGGAAGGUAAAGAACGAGAAGGGAAGGGAAGGUAAAGAACGAGAAGGGAAGGGAAGGUAAAGAACGAGAAGGGAAGGGAAGGUAAAGAACGAGAAGGGAAGGGAAGGUAAAGAACGAGAAGGGAAGGGAAGGGAAGGUAAAGAACGAGAAGGGAAGGGAAGGUAAAGAACGAGAA